CAGAGACAGUGGAAGUUACAGAGACAGAAGAACACAAGACAAAACAGGAUGUCUCUCCAUGUUGUUCUGUGACACAGAAAGGACAUCUUAGCUCCAAUCCAAUCAACUUUUAUUCCUUUGGAAGCGUACAGAGUUGGCAGGCCUUUUGAGCCAGUUGUACAGUUAUACCACUGACCUUCCAAUUACAGGCAGGGGCUGAUGGUCCACUCUACUACAGCAAUUCAGUCAGACUACAUCAGUCAUUCAUUUCAUUUCACUCAUCAGAUAGUUUUGUACUGUCAGAAUAAAUAGUCUGGUUAACAAUAACAAAGACAACUUCAGAAAGGUACAAAACAGCUAUAGAGCACUGAAUAUACUGUAUGUUUACAAUUGUAAGCAUAGAAGACUUCACUUAAUAUAAGUUACUGUAGUUUUGUUAUGUCCCGAAGCCCAGUUUACAGUAAAUAUGUAGUGUAGUGUGACCUUUGAUUCUAUUCGAAGGCAUGUCAUGAUGUAAUGACAGAAGAGUAAGGUGCCUAGUACUUGGUUUGGUCUGUGGUACACUGUGUCUGUGUGGGGGGUGGGGGCGGGCAAGGACGAAGGAUGAGUACCCCGCUGGCCCCAUAUAAGAACACAAACACAUGGGUGCAUGACAUCCCACCCGGCGUACAGACACAGCCCAUGUGACCGGCUGGCUCAGAGACAGCUGUGACUGUCUAACUGUGGCCCAGGUCAGAUCCUGGCCCGGAUCACAUGCUGCUUAACCCACGUCCAUGUCAGACCGCUAAUCAGUGACCAAUGUAAACGGACCUCUCAAAGCUAUCUUGGACGAGGCACCGUACCCCGUCUUGUGGAUUGAAAAGAGAUAGAGAGAGUGUGUGUGUGUUUCUGUGUAUGUGUGUGUGUGUGUGUGUGUGUGUGUGUUGGAGGGAAAGCGCUUCAGUGGCAGUGGACACUGACAGAAGUGGUCAUUCCUUGACAUUCCUGCUGGGUUAUGGUGGGGACAUGUAUUACGGUUGGGGCAGGUAUCCUGCUGAGUUAUGGUGGGGACCUGUAUUACGGUUAUGGUGGGGACAGGUAUUACGGUUGGGGCAGGUAUGUUGCUGGGUUAUGGUGGGGACCUGUAUUACGGUUGGGGCAGGUAUCCUGCUGGGUUAUGGUGGGGAUCUGUAUUACGGUUGGGGCAGGUAUCCUGCUGGGUUAUGGUGGGGACCUGUAUUACGGUUGGGGCAGGUAUCCUGCUGAGUUAUGGUGGGGAUCUGUAUUACGGUUGGGGCAGGUAUCCUGCUGGGUUAUGGUGGGGACCUGUAUUACGGUUGGGGCAGGUAUCCUGCUGGGUUAUGGUGGGGACCUGCAUUACGGUUGGGGCAGGUAUCCUGCUGGGUUAUGGUGGGGACCUGCAUUACGGUUGGGGCAGGUAUCCUGCUGGGUUAUGGUGGGGACCUGCAUUACAGUUGGGGCAGGUAUCCUGCUGGGUUAUGGUGGGGACCUGUAUUACGGUUGGGGCAGGUAUCCUGUUGCAGCAGCCCACCCUACUUCUGCCCUUUCCAGAGCACCUCCUCCCAGCAAACCUGUUGCCUAACCAGAGUCCCCCAGACUGGACUGAACGUGCACUUCUUGUACUGUCCCGCCUGUUCUGUAUGGACAUGCAGAUAUGGUACUGUAGCCACACACUGGGGCUGUUCGACAGUACGUAUCAGACGACAGCAAUUUAUCAUUGCAUUAAGACAUCUAAGCGCAGCUUACAUAAAUUCCUGAGUGUCCCAUUUGAGGGAAAUAGCCUUAUUCACCCGAACCCGCCAUCAUGUCUCUUUGCCUGGUGUAGACUACAGACAGCACCAUAGACAGUACAACGUUCAGCUAAGUGGAGUAACAUCAUUGCUUUGAUCCAGUAGUAAUGACAUGAAUGCUGUCCUUUUAAGAAUGUAGUGCAUUAUUUUGGGGUCACCUUGGACUCCAGUCUAUCGGUGUAAUCUGGUUUGUCUGAUACUGGCCCUCUACCUCCUCCACCAUCUCUCCAGCUGACAUAUCUAUUGGUCCUUUGACAGCCCCUCAGACCCACUGUAAUCUAGUCACAGGCUUCUCCUUCAGUCAGCUGUUGUUGCUGGGAUGAAUGGCGACUCGCCUUUACAAAGUGUAUAGGAGUUAAGUGUGUCUCAAUGUCAAAGUGCAGCUGGAAAACUGGAUAGAAGGGGGGAUGAGUGUUGAUUCAUGUGGUCUAAAUAACAUGCAGCUUUAAGAGGCUGGUGCUGACAUUGUUGCAUCGAGAAUGAUGGAUGGUCAGUAGUAUUCUUAGGCACUGGAUAAAAUCAAAGCAACUGUUCAUCAUAAUCAAACAAAUUCUCAAAAUAGGUGUUAUAUUAUUGCUGUAGAAUUGUUAUAUAAUUCAGUAUGUACCAUAAGGCUUUUGGUGCAGUCAGUGUUUGCUGAGAGAGACAGUGAGUAUAUUUAUAGAAGGUUGGAAAGCAGGGCCUAUCUACUUGUCAGUGCUUUUAAAAUUGUGCAUCUUUUUAAAUUGUUGCUGUAUUUAUUUUUUAUUGGAGUUAGAUGGUACCGUAUGGAUGGUGUAUUUUUAUUUCCCUAUGUUUGUUUUUUGUGUUUUAAAUUAGGUUUUGUUUGUGAUGCCUGUUUUGGCCAGUACACUCCUGAAAUAGAUUUGUAAUCUUUCCUGGAUAAAGGUUAAAUAAAAAUAAAUCCCAGCUUCAUUGUUUACCUGGCCCCACUAUCAAUGAUCCCAUUCAGUGUUUACCUGGCCCCUCUAUCAAUGAUCCCAUUCAGGGUUUUAC
ensembl:lncRNA